rnacentral:siRNA from 1 species
GAACAGGUGAAGCUUGAGUCUAUG